GCAUUGGUGGUGAGGGAGCUGGUGAUGCUGAUGUAUAAUCAAAGACUGAAUGAGAGAGGCGCUGUCUCUUGGGACUUGGACUAUCUUCACUCUGCCAAUGCAACAAAAUGGAUCAACUGAUUCAAGGUGGGUCAUAAAGCAGCAGAGACAACUGGCAACAUCGACAAUGCAUUUGGCCCAGGAACUGCUAACGAAUAUAUGGUGCAGUGGUGGUUCCAUAAGUUUUGCAAAGGAGGCGAGAGCCUUGAAGAUGAGGAGUGUGGCCCGCCAUCAGAAGUUGACAAUGACCAAUUGAGAGCAAUCAUCGAACUAGCUGAUCCUCUUACAACUACAUGCGAAGUUGCCGAAGAACUCAAUGUGAACUGUUCUAUGGUAUGGCCGGUUGGCAUUUGAAUCAAAUUG